CUUACGUCAUUUCCGUAACGGUGAAGUCAAUGACUCGAUAAUUAAGGAUAAGAAUUCUAUUUCUCAACAAAAGCGUGAAAAACAGCUUAAAAGCCUGGGUUUUCUUAAACGUAAGAAACCAUCAUAUUCGAACUAUGCUGU